CUACGGGUGGCUGCAGUGAGGAAUUUUGCGCAAUGGGCGAAAGCCUGACGCAGCAACGCCGCGUGAGUGAUGAAGGCCUUCGGGUCGUAAAGCUCUGUCAAGUGGGAAGAACCUAUGUAAUGUUAAUAUCAUUAUAUACUGACGGUACCACUGAAGGAAGCACCGGCUAACUCCGUGCCAGCAGCCGCGGUAAUACGGGGGGUGCAAGCGUUAUUCGGAAUCAUUGGGCGUAAGGGCACGUAGGCGGCCUGGUAAGUCAGAUGUGAAAGCCCGGGGCUUAACCCCGGAAGUGCAUUUGAUACUGUCAGGCUUGAGUAGGGGAGAGGGAAGGGGAAUUCCUGGUGUAGAGGUGAAAUUCGUAGAUAUCAGGAGGAACACCGGUGGCGAAGGCGACUUCCUGGACCAAUACUGACGCUGAGGUGCGAAGGCGUGGGUAGCAAACAGGAUUAGAUACCCGUGAGUC
rnacentral:rRNA from 1 species